GGUACUGUAGCUGGCAAAGGUUCUCACAACAUAUCCAUCUAUUUAGAUUUGAUUAAAAAAUGCCAGAAGUUACGUGCUGGUUCUCCAGAAUUCGUAGAGAAGUUGAACAUCCUAAUAAAGAUACUCAGGAAGAUUGUGGGACAAGUGAGAGUUGUAACUCUGGGUUCAGCCAUUUGAAGCCAGCUGGAGAGGAAGAUUAGUGCCAUUAAAAUAAUCACUUUCUCACAUAAAAAAUAUUCUAU